GAUGAACGCUAGCGGCAGGCUUAAUACAUGCAAGUCGAGGGGGCAGCAAUGUCACCGGCGGACGGGUGCGUAACGCGUAUGAAACCUACCUUUAUCAGGGGGAUAGCCCGGGGGAAACCCGGAUUAAUACCGCAUAAUAUAUAGAAUGGCAUCAUUUGAUAUUGAAAGAUUUAUUGGAUAGAGAUGGUCAUGCGUAGGAU
rnacentral:rRNA from 1 species